UACGAAGGGAGCUAGCGUUGUUCGGAAUUACUGGGCGUAAAGGGCGCGUAGGCGGUUUGGCAAGUUGGAUGUGAAAGCCCUGGGCUCAACCCGGGAAUUGCAUUCAAGACUGCCUUACUUGAAUUCGGUAGAGGUUGGUAGAAUUCCCAGUGUAGAGGUGAAAUUCGUAGAGAUUGGGAAGAAUACCCGUGGCGAAGGCGGCCAACUGGACCGACAUUGACGCUGAGGCGCGAAAGCGUGGGGAUCAAACAGG
rnacentral:rRNA from 2 species